rnacentral:lncRNA from 1 species
AGGCCAUCUCCAGGCCUUCAGCCCCGAGUUUAGAUAUCUGGGCAGGCUUUGUGGAUGGGCAAGCAUACAGGGAGCCCAAAUGUGGAAGGUAGGUUUUUUCAGGUCAGGUGGAACUGUUAACACUGAAGCCUAUUUGGGUAAGAAGCAGAGCCUAGCUAGUACCUAAUGGAGAUUCAGGGGCCAGGAGUAUCGGGGAGGAAACAUUUCCUAACAGAGAGGUAAAAUAGCCAAGAGGAGUUUCUAUGUAUUCUGAAAUCAGGCAAUGGAAAGUAUUUGCAGAAAAGCAAUGUAGGG